AGCAAGUUUGCAAUCAUUACCUACUUUCCACCCCAUCACUUUUAUACGAAUUUCUUUCAAAAUAACACUUGAAAACCCAAAGUAAUCUAACUUACCUUUUUACCCCAUCGUUUUCGAAACGAGGAACGCCCUUGCUCUUCGCUAUAUCCUGCGAUUUCUUUACUUAGUGGUUUCUGUUGAUACUGUCUGUCUUCGGGCACGAAAUUCGAGAUAGAUUCAAAAGAGAGCAGCAUUUUAUUGCCGAGAUAGCCUCUGUGCAAAGGUAAAAAAUAAUUUUCGUACAAACAACUUGGAUAUGUUUUGACAAGUAGCAUAGUCGAAUGAAUUAGGUAGAAUUACUUGAUCAAGAAAUAAUAAUCGUUUGCAGAUGGAAGAAUCUGUAAGUUCUUCGGAGCAACGUUCUAGUCCAACAGCGACUAUUCUCACGAACAAACGUGUUACUUUCUCAACUAAAACUCAAGAAUGCGUAUUUACCGCCACCGAAGAUGAGGAAGAAGAUGACGAUGUUAACAGAGACCUAAAUAGAAAGGAAGAAGAAUGUGAUUUACAGGAUGAAAGUGAAAGGUAUGAACAAACAUUACUUUGGAUAAGAAAACAUUCCGAAAAAGCUUUUGAAAAUGGAAAAAUUUAUCAUCAUGAAGCAGAAAACGAGGCAUUUUCACCAGAUAAUAUAAUUGUAAUCGAAGAACCUAUGGGAGAGCCUACUUUACAUUGUCAUUGUAUAGUUGAAAAGCCUCCGACACCUGAGAUGAACAGUUUAGAAUUAGGAAUAGCAACUGCCUCCUUUUUGACUUUUGUAUUAAAUUCGGCUAUAUUUUCUUCAAUUACCCUAUUUUCUACACAAUUCCGUCUUUUACAAGAAAUACAUCCCGUUGUUGUUGGUUUUUGCGCAUCUUUAACUAUGACUUUUGCAGCUGUUGGCGGUUUAAUUGGAAGUAAAUUACUAGUUAAAAAUGGACCAAAAUCGAUAUCAAUAGUUGGUUGUCUUAUGUGCUUUGUUGGUUUAAUAAUCAGUUCAAUUUGCAAUCGAUUCUUAUUAAUAUGCCUUACAUUUGGUAUAAUUACUGGAAUGGGUAUUGGAGUUCAAAUAGUUUCAAACUAUAUCUCAAUAAGUUACGGAAUAAGACAACAAUAUAAAAAUUCUGCACGAGUAAUUUCUCUAAUUGGAUUAUUUUUGGGUCCUAUUAUUUUUCUACCUAUUCAACAAUUGUUAUUAGAUAUUUAUUCUUGGCGAGGAACGUUUCUUAUAUUCAGCUCAAUUUCAUUAAAUUCGCUACCAUUUGCUCUACUCUUACCCAGAAAGCUGACAAUCGAUGAUAAUGAUAUGCUAAAUCAACCAAUUAAUUUAUCUCCAUUCUCCAAAAUCCUGCCAGCCUUGGAUUUUUUCACGGCAAUUAUGACUCACGUUGGAGCUGUAAUUUACUUUUAUUACUCUUAUCAGAAGGCAAUUUAUCUCAAAAUAACAUCUUCAAAAGGGAAAUCUCAAACAGUUAAUUAAAGUAGAAUUAAUUAAGAAAUAAAUAUAUUAUUCAAUGUUAUGUGAGAAAGUAGCUAUAAAAAAGAGAACAAAAGAUAUUAGAAAAGUAAAACAUCAUUAAUUUUUAUAUUAAAUAAUACUAAGGAUAGGUAGUUUGUUAUUUAAUCAACAACAAACUUUUAGGGAGUUGUAGCUCCGUCUUUAUAUAAUUGGAGAAUCCCUUUUGUAGCAACGAUUAUUUUAUGCAUUCAAUUAGCUUUUGCCCUUCUCGCAUUUUUAUUUGCAAGUAAAGUUACAAUUUGCCGAAAGCGUUUUGUAAAGGGCUUAUCGUCAUUAAUAUCUGGAUUGAUGCUACUUAUAGGAGCUGCAACAAAUACUUUCUAUCCGAUGCUUCUCUGCUCAGGAAUUUUUGGGACAUUUUACUCUAUAGCAACAAUACUGCAGUUCGAUAUCAGCAUUAUAACAUCGCUAUUUUCUAUUACUAUGGCUUUUUUUAUAGCUUUACCUCUCGCUGGAACUAUUGAAACUGAGUUAAACCUUGAUCGAGUUUUUCUAAUAUCUGGAUGUACUCAUUCAUUCAGCGGAUUAAUUCAAUUUCUCGUCUCAAUUUUUAUGACUGAUAACCCAAUUACAAACUUUACGAAGAGAAUUAAAGACAGAGAAUCCACACUAGUCUAAAUAGAAAAGAAAUGUUUAAAAAGACCUGUAAAUUAUACUACGAUUUCCCGAUGAUAUUGACAUUAAAAUGUCUAGUAAAAUAAUGAAUUUUUAUUAUUUUAAUAUUAUUUUCUUUAUUUUCG
rnacentral:misc_RNA from 1 species